UCCAGACUCCUACGGGAGGCAGCAGUGGGGAAUAUUGCACAAUGGGGGAAACCCUGAUGCAGCGACGCCGCGUGAGUGAAGAAGUAUUUCGGUACGUAAAGCUCUAUCAGCAGGGAAGAAAGAAAGUCCUUUGGACUUUGGACGGUACCUGACCAAGAAGCCCCGGCUAACUACGUGCCAGCAGCCGCGGUAAUACGUAGGGGGCAAGCGUUAUCCGGAUUUACUGGGUGUAAAGGGAGCGUAGACGGCAGCGCAAGUCUGGAGUGAAAUGCCGGGGCCCAACCCCGGAACUGCUUUGGAAACUGUGCAGCUCGAGUGCAGGAGAGGUAAGCGGAAUUCCUAGUGUAGCGGUGAAAUGCGUAGAUAUCGGGAGGAACACCAGUGGCGAAGGCGGUUUACUGGACCACAGCUGACGCUGGGACACGAAAGCGUGGGGAGCAAACAGGAUUAGAUACCCUAGUA
rnacentral:rRNA from 1 species